GACGAACCGUGCGAACGUUGUUCGGAAUCACUGGGCUUAAAGGGCGCGUAGGCGGGUUCCCAAGUCGGGGGUGAAAUCUUUCGGCCCAACCGGAAAAGGGCCUCCGAUACUGGGAACCUCGAGGGGGGUAGGGGUCGGCGGAACUUCCGGUGGAGCGGUGAAAUGCGUAGGUAUCGGAAGGAACGCCGGUGGCGAAAGCGGCCGACUGGACCUCACCUGACGCUGAGGCGCGAAAGCCAGGGGAGCGAACGGG
rnacentral:rRNA from 1 species